AGACCAGACAGGUAGGGGGAGAGACCAGACAGGUAGAGGGAGAGACCAGACAGGUAGAGGGAGAGACCAGACAGGUAGGGGGAGAGACCAGACAGGUAGGGGGAGAGACCAGACAGGUAGAGGGAGAGACCAGACAGGUAGAGGGAGAGACCAGACAGGUAGAGGGAGAGACCAGACAGGUAGAGGGAGAGACCAGACAGGUAGAGGGAGAGACCAGACAGGUAGAGGGAGAGACCAGACAGGUAGAGGGAGAGACCAGACAGGUAGAGGGAGAGACCAGACAGGUAGGGGGAGAGACCAGACAGGUAGGGGGAGAGACCAGACAGGUAGGGGGAGAGACCAGACAGGUAGGGGGAGAGACCAGACAGGUAGAGGGAGAGACCAGACAGGUAGAGGGAGAGACCAGACAGGUAGGGGGAGAGACCAGACAGGUAGGGGGAGAGACCAGACAGGUAGGGGGAGAGACCAGACAGGUAGAGGGAGAGACCAGACAGGUAGAGGGAGAGACCAGACAGGUAGGGGGAGAGACCAGACAGGUAGGGGGAGAGACCAGACAGGUAGGGGGAGAGACCAGACAGGUAGAGGGAGAGACCAGACAGGUAGGGGGAGAGACCAGACAGGUAGGGGGAGAGACCAGACAGGUAGGGGGAGAGACCAGACAGGUAGAGGGAGAGACCAGACAGGUAGAGGGAGAGACCAGACAGGUAGGGGGAGAGACCAGACAGGUAGGGGGAGAGACCAGACAGGUAGGGGGAGAGACCAGACAGGUAGGGGGAGAGACCAGACA